ACGUUUCAACCGUGGUAUUAUAGGAGCAUACCACAUAACCUUGGCAGGAACCCUCUUCCUAGGGGGCUCGCCCUCAACAUCACCAGGGUCAUCUCGCCUGAUCUUAUACCGAAGUGCAGUGCAUACCGGACAUUUUUCCAAAUUUUCAUACUCAGCGCGGUAGAGGAUGCAGUCAUUAAUGCAUGCAUGUAUCUUCAGCACCUCUAAUCCUAGAGGGCAGAGAACCUUCUUUGCUUCGUACGUACUGUCAGGCAAUUCGUUAUUCUUUGGAAACCUCCUCUUCAUUAUUUUCAAUAACUUCUCAAAUGGCUUGUCACAUAUACCAGCAUCUGCCUUCCAUUGCAGCAACUCCAGGGUGGCACCGAGCUUUGUGUUGCCAUCUUCGCAAUUUGGGUAUAACUUCUUUUUGUGAUCAUCUAACAUGCCCUUUAACUUUCGCUUCUCGUUUUCUGUUUCUGCAUCUCUGUGUGCAUCGGUGAUGGCCCGACGAAGAUCAUCAUCAACGGGCUCAUCUGAUGCCUCUUCAUCUUGAUCACCUCCUCCUGCAUCUUCAUCUUCAUCAUGCCCUGUUGCAGUAUCACCGUAGUUAGGGUACAUAUCAUCAUCCUCUUCUUCUUCUUCGUCGUCUUCCAUCAUAACCCCUCUUUCUCCACGCUUGGUCCAACAAUUAUAGCUGGGCAUGAAACCUUUCCAAAGCAGGUGGGAGUGAAUGACUUUCCAUUCAGGGUAUUGCUUCAAGUUAUGGCAAUCAACACAUGGACAACACAUAAAACCAUCCGCCUGUGGGUUUUCCUGAGCCACACGGAUAAAUUCUUCCAGGCCCGAUCUGAACUCGGGUAGACAUCGGUCAACGUACAUCCAUUGCCGCCGGUUCAUCUACAUCAAAUAAUUAAUUAAGUUUAUCAAUAAACAAUUACAAAACAUCAUAAUAUUUAUAAAUAGUGGAAAUUAGCACCGUACAAAUGAAAGGGUAAAGUUGUUGCUUAACCUUGAUCAAGGAGGAAAGAAAGAGGAGAAAGCUUAAGUGUCGCUCCGGCACCUCAUCUCAUUUUUGUUGGGUGUAAAAUCAAGCGGCAUCACUCUCUCACACAUUUCAUCGAGCACCUUAUGUGCAUGCCACAGAGAAGCAACUUAGCACUCAACACACACACCUUCUCCUAGCAAAAAUGAAGUGAGUGGGCUAUUUGGCCGGGUAGCUGAGCUGAAAUAGGGCUGGGGACCUUUAGCACCGGUUCGUGUUACGAACCGGUGCAAAAGAUAGACCAUUUGCACCGGUUCGUAACACGAACCGGUGCUAAAGGUCCCUCGGCAGGCUGCGCCCCACGAACCGGUGCUAAUGACCCCUUUUAGCACCGGUUCGUGCCAAAUCCGGUGCAAAAGACAUCUGGGGCAAAAAACCAAAGCCCUUGUUUCUACUAGUGACACAUUCAAAAGACUGAUUAUAAGAAACUGAUUUGACGGAUCUUGAAAUUAACGAAAUCACUACAGAGAUCUCGCUAUUGAUGAAAUGUCGCCCUCCACUAAAAAAUAUUUCAACCUUAUAAGACACCAAAGUAUUAAACAUGAAAUUUAAACUCUGAUUAUCUAGGGGCGUCACUUUCCUCCUAACCAUUGAAUGCAGUCGCGGGUUGGCUUUCGUGCUUCCCCAUGCUAGAUCUGGGCUCAAUGAAUUUUCUUGUUUUCUCCCUUUCCUGAGGUUUCCUGAGGUGCUACCAUUGGCGGGUUGGUUUUCGUGCUUCCCCAUGCUAGAUCUGGGCUCAAUGAAUUUUCUUAUUUUCUUCCUUUCCUGAGGUUUCCUGGGGCGCUACCAUUAGCCUACGACCUCCAGAUGCGACAAGGUGCAAAGUCGCAUCAGACUAUCUUGAUUCUUGAACUGGUAAAUGGUACAUGAAGGGAAGCUACUUCAGCAGAUUCAAUUUAAUUUCCGAUAAAAUGCGACCGGGUGACAUUUUUCGUCCUAAUAAAAAGUAAAGCGUGAAACAGUUGUCGUGCGCGUGCUUGUUCGCGCACUGGACUAGCAGCGGGUAAUUUUACGGUUUCAUUCAAUCGACAAUUUUGUUACUCCCUCGACCUGAUUUUAGAUGACGCGACGAAGAAUUUGCAGAAAGGACCUUGGCGAAUUUCCGACACAACAGGACUCCUCCCACCACUCAGCUCAUUCUGUCGUCUUCAUCGGUCUUCCCUUGCCGCUCCACUCGCUCGCUCUCCCGCCGCUCAGGCCACCUGCACAGCGCCCCCAGCCCCAAGCCGCCUUAUUUCUUACCCCCGCCGCGUUGCCCGCCGCCUUGCUCCCCCGCUUCCUUGCUCCUGGCGUUGGUGCCUCCUCCCCCGCCCGAAGUCGCCUUCUUGUAUUUUUCCAUCCAAGACACUGCCGUCGUCGUCCAGCUACCUUCUGUGGUCGAUCUACGCCACUGGCAACACCGUACCCGCGGUCCCAUCCAGCCGCACGGGGAACCUCGCCGUCCGCUCCAGCAGGAAGUUCCCUAAAGUGCGGGUAUGGGUGGCAUCGCGGCAGUGGAGCCGGCCCAUCAACCAACCGCUCGAGUUCUUCGGCGUGUUCUGGUCCAAGCCCCUUGAAGACGAGGACGGCGGAACCCCCUGGGCAUAUUCAGAUCUCUGAAUACUGUCGUGAUUACAUUGAUGCAUCUGUGUGCAAUUUUGGUGGUUUCAGGGAUUGGGCGGCCUUAUGUGACGGUGUCGUUCUACCACAAGUCUGUCAGGACAUUGCUGGUGACAGAUGCUGCCAUUUUUGUUCCUUGGAAUCCUCUUGAAUGUAUCGGCAUUGUUGGCAGCUGCAAAGAAUGGCUUGACGGUGAAGAUAUUGAGUAAAGGGAGGGAUAACUCAGUUUGACCUGAUUUCUGAAUAUGCGAAGUGAAUCGUGCAGCAUCGGUCUCUAACAAGGCCGCUCCGCUUCGUGUGCAGGAUGAGGAUGCUAGCAGGAAGGACGUCGAUCUAAGCGUCUAAAGGGGAAAGUUCUUCUCAUCGCUAACGUCGUGUCCCAGUGGUGAGAAUAAUCAUCUAUGAAACCAAUCCUCUCUGUUUUGGGCUUUUGGCUACGAGAUGUCUUCAAGUUUACACGCACACCAUGUCUAGAUCAUGUAUUGUCAAUUGUCCAUGUUAUCUGUUGUCUAAGUUAUCUAUUGUGUACUAUUUAAUUGACCAAAUUAGUUGGCAAUAAAUUCCAUAGAAAAACCAGUACUGUAUGACUUUGCUGCUUACUUCUCUCGACAAAUGGGAUGUUUACUCA